rnacentral:lncRNA from 1 species
GGCGGGGUGGCGGGGGGGGGGAGUGCAGCGACACACUUCCUCUGUAUGCUGGUAAAUCUAGUUUAUUUAUGUACAAAGACAAAUUACGCUUUUAAUAUGAUAGCACCUCACAUCUGCUUCUGAACAUGUCAGAAGGAUUGUGUGCUGUUCAUUUGCAUGCAAAAGACUGCAACAUGUAUCACAGGCAUGAAAAAUGAGUUGUCUUUUUUGGAGCCUCAUUUUUUUGAGGGAUAAAGUGUUUUGGCGCCACCAAGAGGCCGACAGGCGCAUUACAGGGUCACCCUAGAUGGGUCAACUGGAAUUAACAAAGGAGUGUAAGUACACACACACACACACACACACACACGCAGACAGCAACAUAGGGCUUAAGGCUGCAGGGGACACACCCAGGACGGGACACCAGUCCAUUGCAAGGCAGCCCAAGCAGGACUCGAACCCCAGACCCACCAGAGAGCAGGACCCGGUUCAACCCACUGCGCAACCGCGCCCCCGGAGUAAUUUGUGGAAGCAGAUUGAAGACUUUGGACGUGGCGUUUUCAUUCCGCUUCCCACGGAGACUCCCCCAGCGGCCUGUCUCUUUGAUUUCCUCCCGCCGCACUCCGAGCCGCUCUAUCGGCGCACCCUUAUCGGCUCCCUCGCCCCACCGAGGAGGCGCUCCAUCCUCCCACGAUAUUGAGGUUUUUCACUAUGCUCGCGAGUUCCGCAUUCCUUCGCUUUUGCACACCUGGACCUUUGGAAAUGCACGGCCUUCUUUUUGUCUUGCGUUCUCCAUUCCAACCGCUUGUCCAGGGUCGCAGGGGUCCGGAGCCUAUCCCUGAAGGAUGAAGUUCGGGGCAGGGUGCACCCCGAGUAGGAUGCCAAUCGUACACACACUUUCGCUCAGGGUUGCCAGUUCACCUGAAGUACACCUUUCGAGUGUGGGAGGAAACCAGAGCGCCCACAGGAAAGCAUCCAAACUCCACGCAGACCGAGCCGGGCUAGAACCCACGGCCCGAGAGUCACCGGGCACCGGUACCCCGCUGAUGGGAAUGGAAUGGAGGGACCAGCUGACCCAGUGCUGCGGUCACCGUGGACACGGAGCACGGCGCCGCCGCCCCGUGCGUCACGCUCCAAUGUUCACUCCUUAUUGCUGCCCUUCGGCCUUCAAGAGG